rnacentral:lncRNA from 1 species
UAGAAGUCAGGUCGGAUUAAGCCAUAGUACGGAAAAAACUAUGCUACCUGUGAGCCCCGUCCAAGGACGUUAAAAGAAGUCAGGCCACUACAAGUGCCACGGCUUGAGCAAACUGUGCAGCCUGUAGCUCCACCUGGGAAGGUGUAAAAAAUCUGGGAGGCCACAAACCAUGGAAGCUGUACGCAUGGCGUAGUGGACUAGCGGUUAGAGGAGACCCCUCCCUUGCAAGUCGCAGCAACAAUGGGGGCCCAAGGUGAGAUGAAGC